UACGUAGGAGGCGAGCGUUGUCCGGAAUUACUGGGCGUAAAGCGCGCGUAGGCGGUAGGGUGCGACCGGUGUGAAAGCCCCCCGGCUCAACUGGGGGAGGGUCACGGGUAACGGCUCUACUUGGAGUGCAGGAGAGGGAAGUGGAACUCCGGGAGUAGCGGUGAAAUGCGUAGAUACCCGGAGGAACACCAGUGGCGAAGGCGGCUUCCUGGCCUGUGACUGACGCUGAGGCGGCGAAAAGCU
rnacentral:rRNA from 1 species